CAUCUUUAUCCCAGUCUCUUAAGGAGUCUCUUGGUUUAAUUACAAAUUAAAAAAAAAAGAAAAAAUAUCAAUUAUCAUAAAGACGUCUCUUAAUUAGGAUACACAAGAGACGGUCUUCUCUCCUUCCUUUCCCCUGUAGCUUCUUCUUCUCCAUCUCACUUCUGUCAUGCUUUCUUCGAAAUGGAGUCACUCCUCCACGCAACUUCGUCUCUAAGAAGAAGAAAAGCAAGAAAUACGACAGCCACAGUUUCUCCUCGAGACCUGACGAAGCCACCGGCCCGUUUCCUGAAUCCAUUCUUCUCAAAGAGGAAGGAUGAAUGGUUCUCGUAAGCAAUCAAUCGUCUAUGCUGUUCGAGAUUACCAACCGCUAAAGGAAAGCAGCGUCGCUUGCUCUGCCACGACGACUGACGGAGCAAGAAGCUUAACGAUGCUAUGUUUUUCAAGUAUUGGUAUUUGAGGGAAGCUGCUAGGAUGGGUGUGAAACAGGCUCUAAGGAGCAUCGAUGCGUUCCCAAGAGCAGAGUGAAAGUCUGAAGUCUCACAAGUACCAUACUGGGAGUGAUUGUGAAGUGCUUGCCCAUCUUGUAAGUACCAUUUCUUACUUCAAUAGAUAGAUAGAUGUUGUUUGUGUUUGUCUCGUGUUGUGACAUAUACAUAACCUUCAAAAGCUAAACAUAUGUAAUGAUGUCUACAAACAAAGUUAUAAUAUGUAUAUAUAUAUAUAUAAGCAAAUGAUUAUUCCAGUCUA